CACGUAGGGUGCGAGCGUUUGUCCGGAAUUAUUGGGCGUAAAGAGCUCGUAGGCGGUGUGUCGCGUCGGCCGUGAAAACUUGGGGCUUAACUCUGAGCGUGCGGUCGAUACGGGGCAUCACUGGAGUUCGGCAGGGGAGACUGGAAUUCCUGGUGUAGCGGUGAAAUGCGUAGAUAUCUGGAGGAACACCGGUGGCGAAGGCGGUAGUCUGGGCCGGUACUGACGCUGAGGAGCGAAAAGCGUGGGGGAGCAAACAGGG
rnacentral:rRNA from 1 species